rnacentral:tRNA from 1 species
GUUAGCUCAGUUGGUAGAGCGCUCCACUUGUAAUGGAGAGGUCCCGGGUUCGAUACCCGGACUAGGCG